UUAUCGCAGCUGCUCUUCCAGAAAUAAUCCUCAUACUGAAAUGCCCUGUCAAAAAAAGUAUUGAAAUCACUUUUACGUCCAGCAGCUGCCGGCAUCAUCUCCAUUAGGUCUUGGUGCAGGCGGACCAGGAUCCCCAGGGGUACCGGUCACAGAAACAGGCCAGCCCAGCUGAAAUCCAGCUGAGGAGCUGUAGCAGCAGGACCAACUGUCUGGAAGGAGCCAUCGGGGACGUUCUCACUGGUUUCACCUCCUUUGAAAAUAAUUGGAUGACCAGGCCAGAAUCACCAGUUGUCUUCUUUUAUUCAACUAGAUAAAUACGAUUCUCCACAGAGGAACAUCCUAACAAACCUUUCUCAGCGUGGGAACAUGAUGAUUGGACUGUGAGGACAUCCACUAACCCAAACCCUAAACUCAAAUCUACUGUCCUCUACUUCAGAACCAAAUGCAGCAGCACUUCCCUGCAGUGCAGCCUCCACAGUAUUUGCUACUUUACCUUGAAAACAUUUUGUUCUCAAACAUAUUAAAGUGAUUCAUUAAU